rnacentral:rRNA from 1 species
UACAGAGGUCUCGAGCGUUGUUCGGAUUCAUUGGGCGUAAAGGGUGCGUAGGUGGCGCUGUAAGUCGGGUGUGAAAUCCUGAGGCUUAACCCCGGGACUGACAUUCCAUACUGCGGUGCUUUGAGGACUGGAGAGGAGACUGGAAUUUACGGUGUAAGCAGUGAAAUGCGUAGAGAAUCGUAAGGAAGACAGUGGCGAAGG